AUUGAACGCUGGCGGCGUGCUUAACACAUGCAAGUCGAACGAGUGGCGGACGGGUGAGUAAUGUCUGGGAAACUGCCCGAUGGAGGGGGAUAACUACUGGAAACGGUAGCUAAUACCGCAUACCAUCGGAUGUGCCCAGAUGGGAUUAGCUAGUAGGUGGGGUAACGGGUCACCUAGGCGACGAUCCGUAGCUGGUCUGAGAGGAUGACCAGCCUAACUGGCACUGCAUCACGGUCCAACCUCCUACGGAGGGCAGCAGGUGGGAAUAUUGCACAAUGGGCGCAAGCCUGAUGCAGCCAUGCCGCGUGUAGGAAGAAGGCCUUCGGGUUGUAAAGUACUUUCAGCGAGAAGGCGUUACUCGCAGAAGAAGCACCGGCUAACUCCGUGCCAGCAGCCGCGGUAAUAC
rnacentral:rRNA from 1 species